rnacentral:tRNA from 1 species
GCCCCUUAGCUCAGUGGUUAGAGCAGUCGACUCAUAAUCGAUUGGUCCCCAGUUCAAGUCUGGGAGGGGC